CCAGACUCCUACGGGAGGCAGCAGUGGGGAAUUUUGGACAAUGGGCGCAAGCCUGAUCCAGCUAUUCCGCGUGUGGGAUGAAGGCCCUCGGGUUGUAAACCACUUUUGUAGAGAACGAAAAGACACCUUUUAAUAAAGGGUGUUGCUGACGGUACUCUAAGAAAAAGCAUCGGCUAACUCCGUGCCAGCAGCCGCGGUAAUACGGAGGAUGCGAGCGUUAUCCGGAUUUAUUGGGUUUAAAGGGUGCGUAGGCGGAAUAUCAAGUCAGCGGUAAAAAUUCGGGGCUCAACCCCGUCGUGCCGUUGAAACUGAUGUUCUUGAGUGGGCGAGAAGUGUGCGGAAUGCGUGGUGUAGCGGUGAAAUGCAUAGAUAUCACGCAGAACUCCGAUUGCGAAGGCAGCAUACCGGCGCCCAACUGACGCUGAAGCACGAAAGCGUGGGUAUCGAACAGGAUUAGAUACCCCGGUA
rnacentral:rRNA from 1 species